AACAACAGACCGCCAAAAUUUAACCUUGGCCUCCAUGUUGCAACGUCUGCUCUGUCUAAAGGAGGAAGUUUGUUGACCAGACAGCCUGAGAUCGUAUUGCUGUAUCAACCAAAAGAUGCAGAUACACGUAUUUCAUAUGCGCGUCUGUGCAUGAGGAGAUUUCUGAAAAAGAAUAAGUGCUUGUUCAACUUACUGCGAUUUUAACGGGCUUAAAGCUUGGUCCAUGGAUGGUUAUGUUUGAGGAUUUGCCAAUUCGACCGCAAGUGCUGCUGCAAGAAAUUAAACAUGCAGAGACCUUACAAAUUACAAAGAAGUCUGAAGAAAAUUUUUAUUGGACAGAUGGGUGUAAAGCACAGACCUGAGAUAUAAAUUGAAUUGUGAGAAAUAUGAAUCAGGGAUGCAGGUAGAAAAUGGCAAAUGUGAUCCAGAUUGAUAAAAAAUGUCUAAAAAAUUUUCUUGUUUUGUAAAUAUUCAAUGCUAUGUCAAUUGUUAUUUUUUCCCCAAUAUCUAAUAGUGUUGAACAUUUCACUCCCACUUUUGCUUAAAUAGAAUGAAUAAAUUUCCAUUUAUUUAAUAUGAAUAUUAAAAAAUGCCACAUUUUUUCCAUGAUGAACUUGUGGCUUAAAUAAGAGUUCCAGUUUUUUUCCAUACAUGCUCCUAUUUGUUUGUCAAAGAUAUAAGAUCCAAUACAUUGCUCAUGAACAUAAUGUGUAAUUUUGUUCAUUCAUUUAUAUGUUUUUUUCUCAUAAUGAUAUAAUAAAUUGUAUAUAAUUUU